ensembl:snoRNA
UGCCGUCGGUGACGAGACAAUGGAACUCCUGCGUCAGGCGUGGCGCCUGAUGAUUCCAGUGAGGAUACCUUCCAGCUGCCUUCCUUCUGAGACUCCG